rnacentral:tRNA from 3 species
GCCGGGAUGGCGGAACUGGUAGACGCAGCGGACUCAAAAUCCGCCGGUGGCAACACUGUGGGGGUUCGAGUCCCCCUCCCGGCACCA